rnacentral:SRP_RNA from 1 species
GUGGCGUGCGCCUGUAAUCCAGUCACUUGGAGGCNUGGGUUGGAGGACGGCGUGAGAUUGGGAGCCCUGUGGCGCUCUGCCCUAUGUCGAUCGGGCGUCCGCGNUAAGCUCGGCGUCAAUAUGGACAUCCCGGGGGAGCUUGGGGUGGCCAGGUUGUCUAAGGAGGAACGAACCGGGCGAGGCCCGAAAGGGAGCAGCCAAAAGUUNCCCACGUUGAUCAGUAGCGGGAUAGCGCCUGUGAAUAGGUCGNAGUGUCACAGCCCAGUCAAUNUCGCAG